rnacentral:SRP_RNA from 1 species
GGGUUGGGCCCAUGCGACGGAUGAGGUCAAAACCCCGCCAGGGCCGGAAGGCAGCAACGGUAUGGCCGUUCUUCCGGGUGCCGUGGUUUUCUGGCUCAUG